rnacentral:rRNA from 1 species
UUCAUGGAGAGUUUGAUCCUGGCUCAGGACGAACGCUGGCGGCGUGCCUAACACAUGCAAGUCGAGCGCGAAAGUCCCUUCGGGGGCGAGUAGAGCGGCGGACGGGUGAGUAAUACAUGGAUAAUCUAUCCUCGAGCUCGGGAUAACCCUGCGAAAGCGGGGCUAAUACCGGAUAAGACCACGUAACACAAGUUACGUGGUAAAAGGUGGCUUGCUUUCGGGUUGAGCUAUCUCUUGAGGGUGAGUCCAUGGCCUAUCAGCUAGUUGGUAGGGUAAUGGCCUACCAAGGCUAUGACGGGUAGCUGGUCUGAGAGGACGGCCAGCCACACUGGGACUGAGACACGGCCCAGACUCCUACGGGAGGCAGCAGUGGGGAAUAUUGGGCAAUGGGCGAAAGCCUGACCCAGCGACGCCGCGUGGGUGAUGAAGGCCUUCGGGUUGUAAAGCCCUUUCGUGCGGAAAGAACAGUUCCGCGGUUAAUACCCGCGGAAUCUGACGGUACC